rnacentral:misc_RNA from 1 species
GAAUGGUUCUACGACUGCUAAUGCCACUGUCCCAUUAAGCGGCAGCCUUCAGAAGAAGGAGAAGCCUUGGAGUAAAGAUGAAAUUGAGCUGUUAAGGAAAGGAAUGCAGAAGUAUCCUAAAGGAACUUCUCGUAGAUGGGAGGUUAUCUCAGAGUACAUUGGUACAGAAAGGUCAGUUGAAGAAAUUUUGAAGGCAACCAAAAC